rnacentral:rRNA from 1 species
GUUAUAGGGUCAAGUGACUAAGAGCAUAUGGUGGAUGCCUUGGCGAUUACAGGCGAUGAAAGACGUGAUAGCCUGCGAAAAGCUUCGGGGAGCUGGCAAAUAAGCUUUGAUCCGGAGAUGUCUGAAUGGGGAAACCCACCCGCAAGGGUAUCAACAGCUGAAUACAUAGGCUGUUGAAGCGAACCUGGAGAACUGAAACAUCUAAGUACCCAGAGGAAAAGAAAUCAACCGAGAUUCCGAUAGUAGUGGCGAGCGAAUUCGGAAGAGCCUUCUAGUGAUAGUCGACGAGUUAACAAAACGGCAUGGAAAGGCCGGCCAUAGUAGGUGAUAGCCCUGUAUGUGAAAACUUGUCGGUGGUACUGAGCUAGAGAAAAGUAGGGCGGGACACGUGUAAUCCUGUCUGAAUAUGGGGGGACCAUCCUCCAAGGCUAAAUACUCGUAAUCGACCGAUAGUGAACCAGUACCGUGAGGGAAAGGCGAAAAGAACCCCGGGAGGGGAGUGAAAUAGAUCCUGAAACCGUAUGCUUACAAAAAGUCGGAGCCUCGUAAGGGGUGACGGCGUACCUUUUGUAUAAUGGGUCAGCGACUUACAUUCAGUGGCAAGCUUAACCGAGUAGGGAAGGCGUAGAGAAAUCGAGUCCGAAUAGGGCGUUUUUAGUCGCUGGGUGUAGACCCGAAACCAAGUGAUCUAACCAUGGCCAGGAUGAAGGUGCCGUAACAGGUACUGGAGGUCCGAACCGACUGAUGUUGCAAAAUCAGCGGAUGAGCUGUGGUUAGGGGUGAAAGGCUAAACAAACUUGGAAAUAGCUGGUUCUCUCCGAAAACUAUUUAGGUAGUGCCUCAAGUAUUACCUGUGGGGGUAGAGCACUGUUUUGGCUAGGGGGUCAUGGCGACUUACCAAACCAAGGCAAACUCCGAAUACCGCAGAGUACAGCUUGGGAGACAGAGCACCGGGUGCUAACGUCCGGACUCAAGAGGGAAACAACCCAGACCGCCAGCUAAGGUCCCUAAAAUUGGCUAAGUGGGAAACGAAGUGGGAAGGCUAAAACAGUCAGGAUGUUGGCUUAGAAGCAGCCAUCAUUUAAAGAAAGCGUAAUAGCUCACUGAUCGAGUCGUCCUGCGCGGAAGAUGUAACGGGGCUAAGCCAGUUACCGAAGCUGCGGAUGUGCAAUUUAUUGCACGUGGUAGGAGAGCGUUCUGUAAGCCUGUGAAGGUGUCUGGUAACGGAUGCUGGAGGUAUCAGAAGUGCGAAUGCUGACAUGAGUAGCGUUAAAAGGGGUGAAAAGCCCCUUCGCCGUAAGCGCAAGGUUUCCUACGCAACGUUCAUCGGCGUAGGGUGAGUCGGCCCCUAAGGCGAGGCAGAGAUGCGUAGCUGAUGGGAAACAGGUCAAUAUUCCUGUACCGAUCAAUAGUGCGAUGUGGGGACGGAGAAGGUUAGCUCAGCCACCUGUUGGAAUAGGUGGUUCAAGCGUGUAGUCGUGCCUGGUAGGCAAAUCCGCCGGGCUUAGAUGAGGCGUGAUAACGAGUGUGCUUGCACACGAAGUGAGUGAUACCCUGCUUCCAGGAAAAGCCACUAAGCUUCAGCUAUUGAUUGACCGUACCGCAAACCGACACUGGUGCGCGAGAUGAGUAUUCUAAGGCGCUUGAGAGAACUCUGGAGAAGGAACUCGGCAAAUUGAUACCGUAACUUCGGGAGAAGGUAUGCCCUCGGUAUGUGAAGUUGAACAAACGGAGCAGAAAAGGGUUGCAAAAAAUCGGUGGCUGCAACU